UUGAAAAUGCUCCAAGUGUACACCACAUUGAAGUGUUAGAAUUACACAACUACCGCUACAAUAAUUCCUGGGAAGGAUUUUUUCAGCAUGAAACUUCUGAACUUGAGGAAUGUUCGUUCAUGAUUUGGAUAGAUUAUGGCACAAAUGAAGUAAGACAGACCCACAUGAACAAACAGAUAGCUGAAAUGUUACAAAGUCAAACUCAUUGUGAUGUCCAAUUCCAAUUUAAAAAUGGACAAUCUAUUGGUGCCCACAUCGUUAUCCUAUCAGCAAGCAGUCCUGUAUUUGCUGCCAUGUUCAAACCUGGAUUUAAGGAAUCACAAACCCGUGUAGUGGUCAUUGAAGACAUUGAUGUGCAAGUGUUCAGACACUUACUGGACUAUUUCUACACCAGUGAAGCUCCCCGAAUAACAAGGAAUGAAGAAAGCAGCAUUAUGUUGCUGUACAAAGCUGCCGACAAGUACGACGUCAAUGAUCUGAAAAAGGAAUGUGUCGAAAUGUUGUUGUUGGAACUGGACACUGAAAACGCCAUUGAGUUGUUAAUCUGGUCUGAAUUCCACGUCAUUCCUGAGCUACUUGAAGCAGCCAUGAAGUUUACAGUGAAAAAUUGCAAAAUGCUUUGUUCUCAUCCCUCAUGGCAGAAUUUGUUAAAGAAUCACCCUGAAUUAUGCCUGGAAGUUUUCAAGAAAGUGGCAGACCGGUAGAAAACUGAAUAGGCCUACUAAAUGAUUCAGCUAAUAUAUAACUCCUGUUAAGACUAUUGUCCAGGUUUUUAAAGGAAGAGGCCAUUUGUAUCAACCUAACCAGUACAUCCACUGGCUUAUUGCCUGUUAAUAUCUGCAUGGGAGAUGCUCAACAUUUUAAUUUGCUUUCUUGAGUUUAUUCAUUCUUUCUUUUAAUUUGUUUACGAAAAUGCUGUUUGUACUUCCAUUAAACUUAGAAAGUAAUCGUGUUUUAUAUUCGUAAGCACAGCUACUAUUGAAAAUUUGUUAUACAGUUGCAAUAGUAAAGCAGAAAUGUCAAAAUAAAUCGUUAUGUUUAAACACUUA